rnacentral:rRNA from 1 species
AGUAAACAGUACGUGAAACCGCAUGCAGGUAAACGGGUGGCGUCAAGCUGCAAGCCCGGAGGAUUCAGCUGACUAGGAUGUUGUGUAUGCGCCUGGCGCAUCUAUCAGUCGGAGUAGGAUGUGGUAGUCCACUGGGAUACGGUGGGCCCGGCCGCAAGGUUGGGAUAUGUGUACCGGGUGUUAGCCGGAGCAUGCUACCCGUCUGUCGGACUGUCUAGUCAGUGCACUUUCUCUGUGGUGAACACCACGACCGGUGGUAUUGCCAGUCUGCUGUAGCCAAGUCGUAUUCAGUGGGUUCUUGUAAUCAACUGGGUGCGAUCACAGGCAAACUCAGUAAACGGCGUGGGGGUGUCUCGGCAUCUCCACGUGUUAUCGGCUACUGGUUGUCAACGGGUCGGCCUGAUGAUUGUUGUAAUCGUCAUUGGGUGAUCUGGUGGGCUAUGGUGGUAUGAAUAACUGUGCAAGGCACCGGAGUUCUCGGCCUCAGAUGCAUCCUGCGCACACAUUACAAGUGGAGUGGGGUGCCAUUGCAGCCUGCCUGUCGUUGGGUCUGAUUGUCGUGUCGCCUGCGAAAAGUGGGCCCGGCAGUGGCCUGAUGUGGGAUGGGUUGUGGAUGGUGCCUCCUGUGUGGGGUGCUGUUGGCCAAAUAGUCAGUGGUGUAGUGGUAGACGAGCUACCCGACCCGUCUUGAAACACGGAC